GACGAACGCUGGCGGCGCGCUUAACACAUGCAAGUCGAACGGAAAGGCCUGCUUUCCCUUGUGGAUUGCGGGUACUCGAGUGGCGAACGGGUGAGUAACACGUGAGUGAUCUGCCCCCAACUUGGGUAUAAGCCUGGGAAACUGGGUCUAAUUCCCGAUAGGACUGCAGGGUGGUGCCUGUGGUGGAAAACGAUUUUCUAGUGGUGGGGGAUGAGCUCGCGGCCUAUCAGCUUGUUGGUGGGGUAAUGGCCUACCAAGGCGGCGACGGGUAGCCGGCCUGAGAGGGUGGACGGCCACAUUGGGACUGAGAUACGGCCCAGACUCCUACGGGAGGCAGCAGUAGGGAAUAUUGCACAAUGGGCGGAAGCCUGAUGCAGCGACGCCGCGUGGGGGAUGACGGCCUUCGGGUUGUAAACUCCUUUCGACCGCGAGGAAGCCACCUGGUUGGAAGGGUGGUGACGGUAGUGGUAGAAGAAGCACCGGCUAACUACGUG
rnacentral:rRNA from 1 species